AGACAUUUGGCUGAGAGCGUUAGCUGAUCACUCUGAUCCAGUUAGCUAAGCCCUGGGCCGGCGAGCUUAGCUCAGGCAGAGAGCCUCUGGCUCUCAAUGAGGUUGUAGUGGACGGCACUGGGCAGACUGAUAAGAACUCAAACCAUUCUAAAAAUUUUCUACUUUCAAUGUGUGCUGUUGUGGUUAUGGUGCCUUUAAACAUUACUUCACAAAAAAAAAAAAAAAAAACCACAAACUCCUACGAACAGCAAAUCCUGAUAUACUCAGCAAGGCAAAGGAGGAGGAGUGUAUUCCUGGCUGUCCGCACCUUAUGGCAUUUGACAUUCUACAGCAUCUUAUCAGCUUCUGGAAGAGAUUUACUUUUUAGCUGCUUCUACAGUAAGGCAUACGAUGAGCUGAAACAUUAGCACAUCAUUGUUACAUCUUCCCCACUAUUAACUGGGAACCCAUAGAGUUAAGCAAUAUGAUUCAUCACUAUACCCUUUGGCACAAU